GAUGAAGAACGUAGCGAAAUGCGAUAAGUAAUGCGAAUUGCAGAAUUUCCGUGAGUCAUCGAAUCUUUGAACGCACAUUGCGCCCACUGGUAUUCCGGUGGGCAUGCCUGUUCGAGCGUCAUUAUCCUCCCUCAAACCCCGGGUUUGGUGUUGGACCGAAGUUGUGUGAACAACUGGUCUAAAAAACAAUGACGGCGUCCGUGGGACCCUCGGUGCAACGAGCUUUUAGGAGCACGCGCCGAGUUGCAAGGACCUUCCGGGCCGGUCUCCUUUUACUAUUUUACAAGGUUGACCUCGGAUCAGGUAGGAAUACCCACUGAACUUAAGCAUAUCAAUAAGCGGAGGA
rnacentral:misc_RNA from 1 species